AGGCACCUGCACAGGUGCUGCAUGGCUGUCGUCAGCUCGUGUCGUGAGAUGUUGGGUUAAGUCCCGCAACGAGCGCAGCCCUUAUCCCCAGUUGCCAUCAGGUAAAGGCUGGGAACUCUGGGGAGACUGCCGGUGAUAAACCGGAGGAAGGCGGGGAUGACGUCAAGUCCUCAUGGCCCUUACAUCCCGGGCUACACACGUGCUACAAUGGCAGGUACAGAGGGCUGCGAAGCCGCGAGGUGGAGCGAAUCCCAGAAAACCUGUCUCAGUCCGGAUUGAAGUCUGCAACUCGACUUCAUGAAGGCGGAAUCGCUAGUAACCGCGAAUCAGCAGGUCGCGGUGAAUACGUUCCCGAGCCUU
rnacentral:rRNA from 1 species